rnacentral:misc_RNA from 1 species
GACAAGGGGCUGAAUAUCCUCCGCAUCGGCCAUUUUUUAUGAAGCUGCAUAAACAGGCAAGGGAAUGAGAGCAAGAAACGAAGAGUACAAACAUACAGACACACAAGUAUGCACGCACAAGCAUUUGCAAUCUUACUUUCUAACUCCAUGUUCAUGAACCAAAGAUACAUUAACAAUUAGCAAACAGUUUCAUAUUUUUGAAUCCUCAUACACUCCAUUUCAUCAGCUCCUGAACUUCUCAGUCAAUUUACUAAAAACAUUUGUAAAAUCUAACCCUAGCUCCUAUAGUUCUGAAUUAUAUACAUUAUACGCAGGCAUCAGGUGUGAAGAAAUUUCUACACCUACUACCCAAUAACCAGGCUAAGCAGCUAUAAAAAGAUAAUAGAACAGUACCCAAAAUUAAUUUUCAAUUAUCUUAUAAAAUUGAACUUUCGAGAGAUGAAAUUUUAUAAUUUCGGAUCUUGUUAAGUUAAUCUCAAGUGGACGUCACUAUAAUCGUUUAUCUUCCUUUAAGUUCCCAGUACUGUUAAUUAACUAUCACACUUUCAGUUCAAUCGGCAUUUGAAAGCUAGUCGAAAAGCACAAAUUUCAAAAAAUCAGAAAGGAAAACCAAAAGCAAAGUGGAGAAGCAUAUCAAAUCGUACUAGCACAGAUCCACAUAUGAGAAAACUAGAUCAGGCAAAUAUGUCAACCGAUCAUAAAAUACCACACACUCUAUGAAGCAAAUGCUAUACCUAACUCUAGAUCUCUCCAUCAAUACCAAAGAAGGAGACUAAAUCCAAAGGAAAAACCAUCAAAGCCACCGAUUUCUUAAAAGCAAAAGAAGAAAACAACACCGAAUAGAAUCAGAGAAGUGGAGAUCGAUAUAAUUAAACAAAAUUAAUAUAGAUAGAUGAAUAGAUCAAAGCAUACCUUAGAUGAGAGAAGAUCGAUGAG